GUUAGCUUAGUGUAAAACAACACACCGGACUUUCAAGCCGGAAAAACUUAAAAGUAGCUAACCC
rnacentral:tRNA from 1 species